rnacentral:ncRNA from 1 species
AAGUAACAUCAUAGCAGGUACAGAACUGUGUUCUCAGGCAAUUAGAAAUAUUUUGCAUAUAUCGGGCAAUCGUGAAGAUUUUAUCGGUGAGUAAUCGCACUCGGAAUGGUUAUGAUGAAUAUUAAAUAAUCGGACAUAGUACGCUAAGGUUGUAUUGUCUAAAGGGAAACAGCCCAGAACAAGAGUUUAAGGUUCCAAAUUUAUUGUUAAGUGAAAUUAAGGAUGUUUCUGUAAAAAACGGCCAGGAAAUUGGCUUAGAAGCGGCCAUUUUUUGAAGAUCUCGUAAAAGAGCACUGGUUUAGUAUAUUUUAUACGUGAAUAGUAGCACCGAAGAUUUAACGGAUCUAAACAAUAUACCGACACCUUGUCCAUAAAAAGGAUGAGCUUGUGACAGCUCGUAUUUUUAUGGGGUAGCAGAACGUUGGGUAAAUAACACGGUUUAUUGUUUUUAACAAUAAAUAUAAGAUAACCCAAGUGAUAAUGCUGACAUGAGUAACGAAAAAGGGGUUAUACCCUCGCCUAAAGCUUAUGGUAUUUUAAAAUAAGUAACGGCCUCUAAGUUUACCAACCUAAAGGAUUAAACGAUGAGAAAAUCUUUUAGUUACUUAGUAACAACCUUCCUUCUUAUGUAACCAAGUCACCUUGCGAGGGGUUUGCUUGGAAAUAUUAUUGCCAAGUACCGGCGGAAGGCGGGCAUAAGAAAAGUUGAGGGAGGUUCUGGAAAAACAGUGACAAACCUGCUUCCGGUAGUACGGAAGAAAGGGGGGAAAACAAAACCGUACCUAAAUACCACCUCAGGUAAGCUAGUAGAGAAUACGAAGGCGUUUGAGUGAACAAUCAUUAAGGAACUCGGCAAACUAACUACCGUAACUUCGGAAUAAGGAGUGCCAUUCCUCUUCAUUAAUAUGAGGUAAAGAAUAGGAAGCAUGGAAUAGUGUUGUACGACUGUUUAAUUAAAACAAAGCACUUCGCAAUAAGAUAAUAAAUCAAAGUAUUGAGUG